ACUCCGUCUACCCAGUGUUUAGACUAUCUGUUCAGGACUCCCAAAUUGUACAGUAGUCUGCACAUUGGUUAGGCUGGCU
rnacentral:pre_miRNA from 1 species